GUAGGUGAAGCAAACGCUCGUUUGCCUACGGAAGCCGAGCAGGUCGACUCUAAACACCUGCGCGAGUCUGCCCCUCGGCCGGGGUGGGCGACGCCAUCAAUCUGUGCUGGGAGCGAUCCUUUGGGCGCGACCAGCAGCUCGUCACGGAGUCCACAGAUCAAACGACGGCGGCCACGCGCCCGUGGUUCAGAUAUGAUCGGCCCCAGCCAUCAUUGGCUGGCGACAACAUUGCGGAACCUGCGGAAGGAUCAUUAUCGAGAGGGGUCCUCCGGACUCCGGGGGCUUCGGCCCCCUACUCUUCACCCUAUGUUUACACACCUUUGUUGCUUUGGCGGGCCUCGGGUUCGUCCCGUGCCGGCCGUGGGCUUCCAUACCCCGGCCGGCCGUGCCCGUCAGAGGCCCAUGAACCCUCGUUUAUCAGUGUCGUCCGAGUCAAACCACAAUAGUAAAAACUUUCAACAACGGAUCUCUUGGUUCUG
rnacentral:misc_RNA from 1 species